rnacentral:lncRNA from 1 species
ACAGAGCUUGGCCAUCCCACUUGUAGCAUGGUCUCUUCGCAAGCUUGGCUGUGGUACCCGUUUUACAUUCUAAGAUACACAACAGCUUAAACUUCAAGCCUCAGAUCUACACAGUAAUCAGAAGCUGGCAGUGCUGAAGGGAGCUCCUACAUCAAGCCUCACACAGCGAAGCAGAAAUCCAGAGGGCAAGGGCAGGUGUGAUUACGGGCUUUGUAUACCACCACUUAGGGAACUGCUCCUGGAGAGAGUCUUUUUGUGGUAGAAUAGAUCUAGAGAAAUUAUGCCACGUCUGAGGCUGGUGGUCCUCACAGCCUCUCAAAAUGGUCAAAUCUGAACUGUUUGUAAACUGUCAGUGUACCUAAAAUGGAACCCUCCUGCCCCCAACCCUGCGGCCGUUACCCCUGAGGAUGGAAAACAGUCAUUUGUAUGACUACACGAAAUACAGAGAGAGAAAAAUGGGUCUUGGGCAGCUUACUACACAAAAAUCGCUCACCAACUUAUGGGCACAGAGGAAAACGUGAUGUAUAGACAUUUCCAAACCCUGCAGAAGUGAGAACCCUCAACAUACCUUUUUUCUCCUGGUGGCUCCUGGAAACUAUAUGAUCUCUGUUCUGUAAGACAGACAGAAGACAAAAAAAG